rnacentral:rRNA from 1 species
UGCCAGCCGCCGCGGUAAUACGAAGGGACCUAGCGUAGUUCGGAAUUACUGGGCUUAAAGAGUUCGUAGGUGGUUGAAAAAGUUGGUGGUGAAAUCCCAGAGCUUAACUCUGGAACUGCCAUCAAAACUUUUCAGCUAGAGUUUGAUAGAGGAAAGCAGAAUUUCUAGUGUAGAGGUGAAAUUCGUAGAUAUUAGAAAGUAAUGUCCGUGGCGAAAGCGGUUACCCAAGUUACUACUGACGCUGAGGAACGAAAGCAUAGGUAGCAAACAGGAUUAGAUA